AAGUCGUAACAAGGUUUCCGUAGGUGAACCUGCGGAAGGAUCAUUAACGUAUCUCUGACGGCGAGGGGUGCGGCCCUGCUCCGGACCGAAAGGCCGUGCAGCGGGCGGUCCCGAGUCGCUCAACCUUUACAAACCACUGUGCACCUUUGUCGGCGAAGGGGCACUCGUGUCCUGGAGCCGGAUCACAAACUCCUGUAAAAAGAAUGUGCAGCGGACGAUGUGCCGCCUAAACUUUAACAACUUUCAACAACGGAUCUCUUGGCUCUC
rnacentral:misc_RNA from 1 species